rnacentral:rRNA from 1 species
AACUUUCAACAACGGAUCUCUUGGCUCUCGCAUCGAUGAAGAACGCAGCGAAAUGCGAUAAACUAAUGUGAAUUGCAGAAUUCAGUGAAUCAUCGAGUCUUUGAACGCACCUUGCGSCCUUUGGUAUUCYGAAGGGCAUGCCUGUUUGAGUGUCAU